GCAUAACAGAUACCAUCACCUUUAUUCGCCGCGCUAUCUGUAUUAACUAUAUAUUAACCCUUUUCAGGCCCGGCCGCACCAAUCUACAAGGUUUUCCCAAAAAAUCCAAAUAUAUUCCAAUUAAUCCAGCUUUGAUGAUUCAUUUGAAGACAAGUAAAAUUUCCCGAAAGUGCAAUCUAAUUUGAAUCUUAAAUCGGAAUGCUGAAGUUGAAAUUCUAUUGGCGAGUAUGUGGUCGCUAGGUGCACUGUGCCUGGAAAAGGGUUAAAAUAUUGCCGACCUAAGAAUGCCUAAAUGCCCUACAAUUUUGCCAGAAGGUUGAAAGUAGACACACAUCGUGAGGUGCUUAAUUCAUACUUAAGAAAUUAAGGUCAUUCAUGUGCAAUAAAGUAGUUUAAUUAAAUCACUAAUGUAUUUAGGCAUAUAGACGUUAAAGCUCUUAUUUAUUUCUUCUAUUUGUAUUUGCCAACGCCCUCUAACUUUGCCCAGGUGGACAAAGUUAAUUAAUUUACCAUGUCUAGUCAAGGCAAAAAGGCCUAACAAAUAACCAUCAAACAAUAGAAUAUUUGUUAAUUUUCGAUCAAUACUAAGCUAUAUCGAACAGACUGCUUAUUGUAAUAUCUAAUGACACUUAAGACUCUCAUUACAUUUAAAGUAUUUCUUGCCUUUAUAUUAUUAAGUAUUUAAUAAUUUUGCCUUGGAUUAAUACUAAUUCUUGCAAGUUGUAUGUAGGUAUAUUAGAUGGAUAAUUGUAGGCUAAUAAAAUGAAAGCGCACUAAAUUAGAUUAAGUACCUACUUAAAUAUAAUUGUGGAUAGAAAUAAAGCAAUAUUUAACAAUUCAUUGUAAAUGCAGGUAAAGUUGUUUCAUAGCUCAGACAGUGUAAGGGUUAUUUAAACGUCAUAAUCUCAUAGAAGUUUUACGUUUAAAAUAACACUUAAAACCCCUGGGCUAUCAAAAUCGCUGUCAACUUAGCUUGUUCUCACUCUAGUUUAAUUUCGUGACUAAGUUUUCCAAAGUAUUAUAUUCCAAUAAACGAUUUUCACCGACCCCGGUGGCAGUGGCGGAUUUCCCUUAUGGCUCAGUAGGCUCGGGCCUAGGGCGGCCAGAUAUUGAUAUGAGGCGGCUAGUACUUACUACAGGCAGGCGUGGCUCACUCCGCGAUUUCGUCGCUUUGCAACAGGUAGCUACAAAGUACAUCCGUUCCACACCAAUUUUGGUGGCUAGCCAUAAACCGCGCGUGGCGUUGUCGCGACCUAGCGGCCAUACCUGUCCUGAUCGUAACAGACGCGUUUUGUUAGAGUGAGUUUUCUGUACCUAGUACUAUUAUUUCUGGGCCUGGGGCCUAGGGCGGCAAAGACUGCAAAUCCGCCACUGCCCGGUGGCACCAAACCGUCGGUCACCGUAAGUGUUCGCUAAAUUUUAUUAUAUGCGAAUUUUCAUUAAGUGAUAUUGAUCAAUCUGUUUAGUGUGGUUGUUGCAUCUGGCUCUAAUACUUUAUUUGAAUCUACCGCGAAGUGGAUUGUAUAUUCUGAAAACUAUAACUAAGUCUUAAAUUUAAACAUAUUUUUAUGUAAUGUUAAUUUAAUUUUUAAGUAGUUAUAUUUAAUGAUAAUUUAGUUAUUUCUAUUUAUAAAUAUUAUGUGUUCAAUAAAAGCACUUUUUCCAUCACAAGGGCGAUAAGAUAAGAAAAGUUUAAAGUAUUUAAUAACUAUAAGACAUACAUUUUUUUUAUGUCCGUCCUGCCGUUUCUGCAUAUGUACACGGUAUUUGCCUAUUCUGCUGUUAUCCACUUAACCCUUUACCAGGUCAAGGCUAAAAUAGAACACAUGUUUGAAGUGCCGUAUGUGGGAAAUAUAUAUCCACAUACCGCACUUCAAACAUGUUUUCUAUGAGUAAGACUGACAUUCGACUGUCAUGUUUGAAAUGUCAGCCUGGUAAAGGGUUAAGGAAGAAACUAAACAUUGAAAUAGUAGGCAUAGUAUAACAGAUUAACAGUUAGCAAUUUCGCGCAUCUUAAAUUAGUGCUUCUCACCCUGGACAAAUAGUCAAUGCGAAUUAGAGUAAGACCAAGCUAACUCUGCAGCGAAUUUGGUUUAAACGUCGUAAUUUUAAAGAUAUUUGACGUUUAUGAUAACACCUCGCUCUGUACUAUCAAUCAAGUUCGCUGCAGAUUUAGCUUGGUCGAAUUCUACAUAUUUGUCCAGAAAAAUUAUAAUCGAUGAAGUUGCAAUUGCUUCUGAUAUUGCAGUAGAAAAAAAUAAAACGAUGCAUAGAAAUUAAAUUUCAAUUUAUUCGAGAUUACAUAAUUUCUGUAUGCAGCAGCCGCCGCCAUUUCCAUGUAAUAAUCUAGAAAUAAAAUUAAUCAUACUGAA